AACGAACGCUGGCGGCAGGCCUAACACAUGCAAGUCGAGCGAGCAUUUCGGUGCUAGCGGCGGACGGGUGAGUAACGCGUGGGAACGUGCCCUUUUCUGCGGAAUAGUCCUGGGAAACUGGGGGUAAUAUCGCAAACGUCCUUCUGGGGAAAGAUUUAUCGGAGAAGGAGAGGCCCGAGUUGGAUGAGGAGGUUGGUGGGGUAAUGGCCGAUCAGGGCGUCGAUCGCUAGCUGGGUUGAGAGACUGGGCGGCCACACUGGGGCUGGGACACGGCCCAGACUCCUACGGGAAGCGGCAGUGGGGGAUCUUAGACAAUCGCGGCAACCAUGAUCGAGCCAUGCCGCGUGAGUGAUGAAGGCCUUAGGGUUGUAAAGCUCUUUCAGCUGGGAAGGUAAUGACGGUACCAGCAGAAGAAGCCCCGGCUAACUCCGUG
rnacentral:rRNA from 1 species